rnacentral:rRNA from 1 species
CAGUAGCCACGGUAAUACGAAGGGUGCAAGCGUUACUCGGAAUUACUGGGCGUAAAGCGUGCGUAGGUGGUGGUUUAAGUCCGUUGUGAAAGCCAUGGGCUCAACCUGGGAAUUGCAGUGGAUACUGGGUCACUAGAGUGUGGUAGAGGAUAGUGGAAUUUCCGGUGUAGCAGUGAAAUGCGUAGAGAUCGGAAGGAACAUCUGUGGCGAAGGCGACUAUCUGGGCCAACACUGACACUGAGGCACGAAAGCGUGGGGAGCAAACAGGAUUAGAUACCCCAGUAGUCCCUGUCUCUUAUAC